rnacentral:rRNA from 1 species
GUAGGUGGCAAGCGUUGUCCGGAAUUAUUGGGCGUAAAGCGCGCGCAGGCGGUUCUUUAAGUCUGAUGUGAAAGCCCACGGCUCAACCGUGGAGGGUCAUUGGAAACUGGAGAACUUGAGUACAGAAGAGGAAAGCGGAAUUCCACGUGUAGCGGUGAAACGCGUAGAGAUGUGGAGGAACACCAGUGGCGAAGGCGGCUUUCUGGUCUGUAACUGACGCUGAGGCGCGAAAGCGUGGGGAGCAAACAGGGAUUAGAUACCCUGGUAGUCCACGCCGUAACGAUGAGUGCUAAGUGUUAGGGGGUUUCCGCCCCCUUAGUGCUGCAGCUAACGCAUUAAGCACUCCGCCUGGGGAUACGGCCGCAAGGCUG